GGUAAGGUGGCUGAGUAAGCAUUAGACUGUAAAUCUAAAGACAGGGAGAGUACCCUUCUUACCA
rnacentral:tRNA from 1 species